rnacentral:lncRNA from 1 species
GAAACGGACUCUUUGUGAUGUGACCAUUGCUGAGAUGCCCUGAAAAGAUCAGUGAUGUUGUGAAUGCCUAAAAUAACUGUAUUUUGAUUGUACUGAGAUAAGUAUGAAGUUUUUAUCAAAGUUCACAUAGUACAGCAGUUCCUCCUCCUGCAGUGCAAGGGUGGAGCGCAGUUCUUGGAUCAGUUCCAACCGUUUCUCUCUUCCCUCGAACAUCUGUCAACCAUUAGACUUCAUCCUUUCACAUCGACAACAACAUCGCCAUUGGUUAGAAAACCAGGCUCCGCCCACUGAGCCUUACCUGAAUCUGCACGGAUCUUCCUCUGAGCACUUUCUGCAGAAAGAUAAUGACCUGUUCCUUUUCCUCAUCUCCCCGUUAUGGACAGAACACUCAUAUCUCAGAAUGAUCGAUGUGUCAUACAAAAAGAAUUCCAAAAUAAAUGAUUCCGUGGAAGUCAAUGUUUAUCAUACAGUAUCCUCCGAUCACUUGAGAUCAGCGGUUCUUUUAGGACAGUCUUACUGUUGUGAAAAAGAAUGCACUUUAGAAAAGAGUAAUUAUUACUGAAAAUAAUGUAAUUUAAAAUAAUGUUUGUGAAACUGCAUGUUAAUUGCACUUAAUUCAUAAUGUAUUAAUCGCAUCCAAAAUAAAAGUUUGUUUGUAUAAUGUGUGUGUAUUGUGUAUAUUUAUUAUGUAUAUAUAAAUACACACAUACAGGAUAUAUUUUGAAAAGAUGUACAUGUAUAUAUUCAUAUAAUUUAAAAUCUAUAUUAAUAUAAACUCAACUUCUUUCUUAAAUGUAUAUUUAAAUGUGUGUGUAUUUGCAUAAGCAUAAUAAAUAUACACAUAUUAUGUAAACAAAUACUUUUAUUUUGAAUGUGAUUAAUCAUUUGACAGCACUAAUAUUUACUACAGUUUGUUUUUGACCCACUUAAGUGCAACUUUAUAUGUAAAACAACAUUUAUUGUCUUUAAAAUGUACUCCCUAAAGUACCAACAAGAAUUCAUCUGUUUAAGCUCAAACAUUGACCUGACUUGUCUACAGCAUGAUCGCGGGCUGUAUCUCUGGGGGUUUCCACCCCGGGGGUUGCAGGUCGUGGAGCAGGUUUUUCCGUCUUAAAGAGGAUCCACAGAGGCUUCUUUCCCGUUUUCUCUUUCAGGGCCUAAUGGGAAGCGAGAGCUCAGGGGGAUAUCUGUCACAUCAUACACCUCCUCCCACCGUCUGAUUAAGUGUGAAAAGCACCCAGCUGCUCAUUACCUGAUGAGUCUUCAUGAGCGGGCUGAGUGUGCGAUGAAGCCUUUAGUCACUAGGUCUUGACACUUU